UCGGCCCUCCACAUGGCUCAAGGUUCUCUUCAUUAUCUUAGGGGACUAGAAAAGCCAUCACCUCCUGAUUUACCUCAACCAACAAGUCUUUACAAAACGUGCAUGUGCCUGGGGCUGACGGGAACAUCUGUCUCAGCACAUUUUCAGUUUAGUCAGGUCCAAUUUUUGAUGCCCGAGACCUUAGGAUUGGGGGAGGGGCGUCACGGGACAAGACCAAGAGGAGUUUGAAUUGGGAAGACAGAAGACAAGAACAUCCUAGAAUGAAUCAGGACAGCUAAGAGCAGAAUUGGCCUGGGAAGAAGGGAAAGGGCAGAGAAGGACAACGAGGGAAGGAAAAUGGGAGGUACGAAAACUCCGGUGGAAGCUGAUAUGGCAUCGGAAAUUAAUUUCAUCAUCUUGAACGUUUUAUCUAGAGUCAACUAUGAAUAGUGUAUGUGGUUAAUAAGCAAACUGAUGCGAAGAUGGACCAUUCUCUUUAAAGUGGAAGGGGCAGGCGGGGGCUCCAAAGCCCCCGUUAGCAUUUAACAAGAGCGAAAGAAAUUGUAUUCUUUGAGCUGCAAAGUCUCUCUGUUAACUGUUUGUGACGUUCUGAGCUCACCUAACAACAAAGGUGGCUUUAUAUCUGUCACUUCCUCCCGCCUUCCUCACAUGGCAUCUCUAAGGUAGCCGCUGCCCCCUCACUUUCACAUAGAAGGAAGCUACGAGGCUCAGAAGUCUUGGGCGAGUGACUUGACUUCUAAAAGUGGCAGCAGAGACAGACUCCAAUCUAAGAAGCCAGGCUCCGGAUUUCCUGGUUCACUAGGGAUCCUCCGUUCAGUCCCUAACCCAGACAUCACAUGGGUAACACUAUGUGAGCGAAAUCGGUUUUCACUGCUUCCGGUGUCCACUGUGGAGCUGGUCUGCAGAUUCCUCCCAGACUCACCUCCUCCGGAACAGCAGAUGCUGGUGAAGACUGAGGAAACCCCCAGGAGGGGAAGAGCUACGUAAGCACGUGAUACAGGUGACAGCCGUGGUCGUUGGCUGGCUGUGAGCGAGCUGUGGAGGCAACCAACGACCUCCACAGACGCAGCACCUGUGAAGUCCUGGGAAUCAGUGAGUACAGCAAACACGGCCUGCUCACAAUCAGUGUUUGGUAGAGUAGGCUGAACGAAAAAGAAUGCAGGGGGUUGGGGAUUUAGCUCAGUGGUAGAGCGCUUGCCUAGGAAGCGCAAGGCCCUGGGUUCGGUCCCCAGCUCCGGAAAAAAAAAAAGAAAGAAAGAAAAAGAAUGCAGACAAUAACUAGGGGGCAAAAGCCAGGCCUACGGCAAAGCCUUCAGUAACGAAGAGGAGUCAACUAGAGGAUCCCAGAGGCCCUUUCAAAAGACUCAGGGGGAAGAAGAGAGGAACAGUGACAAGGAUCCAGAGUAAAAGAAUGGCUAAGAAACUGGUCCUUUGCAUCCCAUGGAAGAAAGGAACAGAAGGAGGGUGGGUUGUAACUU